AUUGAACGCUGGCGGCAUGCUUUACACAUGCAAGUCGAACGGUAACAGGCCGCAAGGUGCUGACGAGUGGCGAACGGGUGAGUAAUGCAUCGGAACGUGCCCAGUCGUGGGGGAUAACGCAGCGAAGGCUGCGCUAAUACCGCAUACGAUCUAUGGAUGAAAGCGGGGGACCGAAAGGCCUCGCGCGAUUGGAGCGGCCGAUGUCAGAUUAGGUAGUUGGUGGGGUAAAGGCUCACCAAGCCAACGAUCUGCAGCUGGUCUGAGAGGACGACCAGCCACACUGGGACUGAGACACGGCCCAGACUCCUACGGUAGGCAGCAGUGGGGAAUUUUGGACAAUGGGCGCAAGCCUGAUCCAGCAAUGCCGCGUGCAGGAAGAAGACCUUCGGGUUGUAAACUGCUUUUGUACGGAACGAAACGGUCCUGGUUAAUACCUGGGGCUAAUGACGGUACCGUAAGAAUAAGCACCGGCUAACUACGUGCCAGCCGCCGCAGUAAAAC
rnacentral:rRNA from 1 species